rnacentral:rRNA from 1 species
AAUUUUAGACAAUGGGGGAGACCCUGAUUCAGCCAUCCAGCGUGUGCGAUGUAGGNCUNNGGGUUNUNAAGCUCUUUUGUCCGNNNNNAAAAGGUUCUGACUACUACCCGGAACUGAUGAUGGUACCUGAAGAAUAAGCACCGGCUAAUUCCGUGCAAGCAGCCGCGGUAAUACGUAGGGUGCAAGCGUUAAUCGGAAUUACUGGGCGUAAAGCGUGCGCAGGCGGUUCGGAAAGAAGGAUGUGAAAUCCCAGGGCUCAACCUUGGAACUGCAUUCUUAACUACCGAACUAGAGUAUGUCAGAGGGAGGUAGAAUUCCGCGUGUAGCAGUGAAGUGCGUAGAUAUGCGGAGGAAUACCGAUGGCGAAGGCAGCCGCCUGGGAUAAUACUGACGCUCAUGCACGAAAGCGUGGGUAGCAAACAGG